rnacentral:rRNA from 1 species
CCUACGGGGUGCAGCAGUGAGGAAUAUUGGUCAAUGGGCUUACGCCUGAACCAGCCAAGUCGCGUGAGGGAAGACUGCCCUAUGGGUUGUAAACCUCUUUUGUCAGGGAGCAAUUGGCGCUACGUGUAGCGUUAUCGAGAGUACCUGAAGAAAAAGCAUCGGCUAACUCCGUGCCAGCAGCCGCGGUAAUACGGAGGAUGCGAGCGUUAUCCGGAUUUAUUGGGUUUAAAGGGUGCGUAGGCGGAAUGCCAAGUCAGCGGUAAAAUCGCGGGGCUCAACCUCGCUCCGCCGUUGAAACUGGCGGUCUUGAGUGGGCGAGAAGUAUGCGGAAUGCGUGGUGUAGCGGUGAAAUGCAUAGAUAUCACGCAGAACUCCGAUUGCGAAGGCAGCAUACCGGCGCCCAACUGACGCUGAAGCACGAAAGCGUGGGUAUCGAACAGGAUUAGAUACCCCUGUAGUC